UCAUUGGGCUAUUCCAUUUAAUAUCCGUACCCCCCCUGUCGAGGAUCCCUGGAAUUCUUCAGGGGUAAAGGGUUUUGAGCUUGGAAUUCUUCAGGGGUAAAGUGUUUUGAGCUUAGAAUUCUUCAGGGGUGAAUGGUUUUGAGCUUGGAAUUCUUCAGGGGUAAAGGGUUUUGAGCUUGGAAUUCUUCAGGGGUAAAGAGGUUUGAGAUUGAAAUUUUUCAGAGCUUGGAAUUCUUCAGGGGUGAAGGGUUUCGAGCUUGGAAUUCUUCAGGGUAAAAGGUUUUGAGCUUGAAAUUCUUCAGGGGUAAAGGGUUUUGAGCUUGGAAUUCUUUAGGGGUGAAGGGUUUUGAGCUUGGAAUUCGUCAGGGGUAAAAGGUUUUGAGCUUGAAAUUCUUCAGGGGUAAAGGGUUUUGAGCUUGGAAUUCUUCAGGGGUAAAAGGUUUUGAGCUUGGAAUUCUUCAGGGGUAAAGAGUUUUGAGCUUGGAAUUUUGGAAUUCUUCAGGGGUAAACAGUUUUGAGCUUGGAAUUCUUCAGG